rnacentral:tRNA from 1 species
AGUCUUAUAUUCAAAAAUGAUUAUAAAUUGCAAAUUUAUAGGUGAAUGUAAAUUCUAAGGCUU